rnacentral:rRNA from 1 species
GACGAACGCUGACGGUGUGCUUUAGACAUGCAAGUCGAACGCGAAAGCCCUUCGGGUUAGUAGAGUGGCGAACGGGUGAGUAACACGUGGGCAAUCUGCCCCUCGCAGGGGGGACAACCGGAGGAAACCCCGGCUAAUACCCGUACGCUUGUGGGACCGCAUGGUUCCGCAAGGAAAGGUAGCUUCGGCCAUCCGGCGAGGGAUGAGCCCGCGGUGCAUUAGCUAGUUGGUGAGGUAACGGCCCACCAAGGCAACGAUGCAUAGCUGGUCUGAGAGGACGAUCAGCCACACUGGGACUGAGACACGGCCCAGACUCCUACGGGAGGCAGCAGUCGGGAAUCUUGCGCAAUGGGCGAAAGCCUGACGCAGCAACACCGUGUGAGCGACGAAGGCC